rnacentral:rRNA from 1 species
UACGAAGGGUGCUAGCGUUGUUCGGAAUCACUGGGCGUAAAGCGCGCGUAGGCGGCGUAACAAGUCAGAGGUGAAAUCCCCAGGCUCAACCUGGGAAUUGCCUUGAAACUGUUAUGCUUGAGUGUCGGAGGGGAUAGCGGAAUUGCUAAUGUAGAGGUGAAAUUCGUAGAUAUUAGCAGGAACACCGGUGGCGAAGGCGGCUAUCUGGGACGACAACUGACGCUGAGGCGCGAAAGCGCGGGGAUCAAACAGG